rnacentral:rRNA from 1 species
UACGUAGGGGGCAAGCGUUGUCCGGAAUUAUUGGGCGUAAAGCGCGUGUAGGCGGCUUGGUAAGUCUGGUGUGAAAACUUGGGGCUCAACCCCAAGCCUGCACUGGAUACUGCCUGGCUAGAGUCCGGGAGGGGAGAGCGGAAUUCCCAGUGUAGCGGUGAAAUGCGCAGAUAUUGGGAAGAACACCGGUGGCGAAGGCGGCUCUCUGGAACGGUACUGACGCUGAGACGCGAAAGCGUGGGGAGCGAACAGG